AUUUAUUCUUAUUGGCAUCGUCUCUGUCACGCUUUCCAAUAUCCUCGUCAAAGCGUAUGGACAUGAACACCUAAAGACAGAUACAACAAAGGAGAAGUGACAUCAGAACUUCAACUACCGUGGUUUCGCAUCCAGCAAUAUAUGACUGUCAAGGAAAACAGCAGCAAAAAAGCAUAUGUGUUAUAAAUAUAUUCAGAGGAAUCAAGAGUCAAGAAUCAAGUAUACUUGACAUGCAUACGUUGUAGGCCUUUUAAUAAAGUUGACUCAUAGAACCGGGUUUUCUUUACUGCCUUUGAGACCUUCAUCUCGAGCUCCUUCUCUGUAGGAAGUCUAUUCUAAUAGCUGGCACCACCAACAAAAUCAAAGAUGUAAAUUCAAACAUCAUAGAGUGGGGUUAAGAGACUGAUUAGCAGAUAAAAUGGGGGAAAGGUCUGAUAAAAUUACCCAGGAAGUAUAUCUUUAAAUACGGCCAACACAGAUAACAAACCAAGUUUCACUAUCUUUGUAUUACAUUUCCUUUAUGGUUCUUAUGUUUGCCUCAGGAUCAGAAAGUAGUUGCAUUCCCAACUCCUCGAGUUUGUUUUUCUUAUUUUCAAACGUCUCUUCAGCAGAUA